AGUGAUCAUAGCACCAGCACAAGCUGCAGCGACCGGAUAACCUGCUUAAUAACGUGGAAAACCUGCCUUGGAUCCUGCCUAAUCAGAAUUGCACCGUUAAAGGAACCGGCCAGGUUGCAAAGUGGUUUGUUGGGACACUUUUCCACUAUUUCGAUUUAGUAUCCUGGAUUUGUCUGCUGUUAAGGAGAUCCUUCGGUUUGGGUGUACUAAGAAGUAUUGACAGGAGUCAGGCUGUCCUUCAUAACUACUAUGAAGGCCAAACGUCUUCAUUUCCUCCUUGUUAUAGCCAUAGGUCUACUGAAUGCCCCUCUGAAUGCAGAGAUGGACAGUCAGCAGAUUCGGCUAGUCAAUGGGAUGACUCGUUGUUCUGGACGAGUGGAGGUCUUACACGAAGGCCAGUGGGGAUCAGUCUGCGAUGAUGCCUGGGGCCUACAGGAGGCAGAAGUUGUGUGCCGCCAGAUGAAGUGCGGGACAGCCCUGGGGGUAAAAUACCAAGCCCACUUUGGCCCGGGGGCUGGCCCCAUUCUGCUGGAUGACCUUGGGUGCAAUGGCCAAGAGAGGACACUGGGAGAAUGCAAACACGCAGGCUUUGGGGUCAAUAACUGCGGCCAUUCGGAAGAUGCCGGCGUCGAGUGUUCAGAGAAAGUCAACCUGUUCAACGGCACUGAUCGUUGCAACGGUCGACUGGAAGUUGAACACGAGGGCCAGUGGGUGAAGAUUUGUAAAAACAGCCAUUGGGGCGAUAAGGAAGAGUCACUGGUGUGCCGUGAGUUAGAAUGCGGCACGCCGGAUAAAAAGGCUGUGAGGCUCAACAUCGGAGCGAGUACUAAUCUGGGAAGUUUCACGGCCAGCUGCGUCGGCGCUGAGACCUCCAUCGCCGCCUGCCCGCUUCAGUCGAACCUGAGCGCAUGUGAAGCAGCAGUUGUUUACUGCACAGGCCAUCCAGAUAUUAAACUGGUGAAUGGCAUUGAUCGAUGCUCGGGGAGAGUGGAGGUCCAAAACGACGGCCAAUGGGGAACCGUGUGUGAUGACUCCUGGGACAUCAGGGACGCACAGGUCGCAUGCCGAGCGAUGGACUGCGGAACACCCUUACUCAUCAAACCUGCAGCCUACUAUGGCCCGGGCCGGGGUAACGUCUGGUUAGACGACUUGGAAUGUUUUGGUAACGAGACCUCGCUCAUGCAAUGCAAACACAAACCCUUCGGUCGGAGCCACUGUAACCACAUGCAAGAUGCUGCAGUGCAAUGUUCAAUUUCCACCCGACUCCUGAACGGGAGCAACCGCUGCUCAGGCAGAGUGGAGAUCAACCAGGAAGGACACUGGGCACCAGUGUUUAAUGCUAACUGGGGGCUCAAUGAAGCGCUUGUGGUGUGCAGAGAGAUGCAAUGUGGAGAACCGGUGGUGGCCUCAACACCGUUCAAUUUCGGACAUGCCGGCCAGGCGACAGGAUACACCACCACUUGUAACGGCAGAGAAACCUCGAUAAGCCAGUGCUCCCUUAGAGGAUAUGCCCAGACCAGCCAGAAUCAUGCUGCUUCGGCAACAGUAGUUUGUUCAGGGCCCAGAAGAUCCCUAAUUCUGGCUUCUUUGGCCGAGGCAGCACAAACAUGUUGAUCGGAGAAAUUAGUUGUACUGGACGCGAGCACUCACCCGACGAAUGCAGACAACAGGACAUUGGUUCCUCGACUUGCAACAGCACCUCAGUGGCUGGACUUCUGUGCUCAGAUGGUUUGCCCACGCGCUUGGUCCAUUCCACGGGUCAAUGUUUUGGGAGAGUGGAGGUCAAACAUGCAGGCCAGUGGGGCACCUUGUGUGGUGAAGACUGGUCCAUGUCCGACGCUACGGUUGUGUGUGGUCUCUUGGGAUGCGGGAAGGCGGCGAGCAUCUCUGGGAAUGCACAGUAUGAGCAAGGCACCGGGCCCAUAUGGGAAGCCGGCGAUCUGUGUUUCAACAAUGAGGCGUCAGUCUUCAAAUGCUCACAGAGUGGAUUCAACGGCACUAGCUGUGGCCACAGACAGGAUGCCGGUGUUGUCUGCACAG